rnacentral:misc_RNA from 1 species
UCCAAGGAAGUUGGACAGCUCAAUCAUGGAUUUGUCAGUGAGGAAAUUUGCCCCUUCAACAUCUAAGUGUUCAAGAAACUGAUACCUAUACAAUAAACAAGAAAUUCCAACAAAAGAGAAAUUAUAGCAUUGAGAGAUAGNNNNNNNNNNUCUUUAAUGGAAGAGACGCUUCCGCAACAGAACAGAGUAAUUCAUCGGAGAUAAAUGAAUUUGAGAGAUGAAGCUCAGAUAAAGUUUUAGCAUAAGUAAACGAUUCUAGAAAACUUGAAUCGAUAGAAGGGAUUC